rnacentral:rRNA from 1 species
UGGGGAAUUUUGGACAAUGGGCGAAAGCCUGAUCCAGCAAUGCCGCGUGUGUGAAGAAGGCCUUCGGGUUGUAAAGCACUUUUGUCCGGAAAGAAAUCCUUGGCUCUAAUACAGUCGGGGGAUGACGGUACCGGAAGAAUAAGCACCGGCUAACUACGUGCCAGCAGCCGCGGUAAUACGUAGGGUGCAAGCGUUAAUCGGAAUUACUGGGCGUAAAGCGUGCGCAGGCGGUUUGCUAAGACCGAUGUGAAAUCCCCGGGCUCAACCUGGGAACUGCAUUGGUGACUGGCGGGCUAGAGUAUGGCAGAGGGGGGUAGAAUUCCACGUGUAGCAGUGAAAUGCGUAGAGAUGUGGAGGAAUACCGAUGGCGAAGGCAGCCCCCUGGGCCAAUACUGACGCUCAUGCACGAAAGCGUGGGGAGCAAACAGGAUUAGAUACCCUGGUAGUCCACGCCCUAAACGAUGUCAACUAGUUGUUGGGGAUUCAUUUCCUUAGUAACGUAGCUAACGCGUGAAGUUGACCGCCUGGGGAGUACGGUCGCAAGAUUAAAACUCAAAGGAAUUGACGGGGUCAUAGCUGUUUCCUG